CUCAGGGACAAGAUCUAGUGCGGUGAUACGUGGUCUCUGAAAGCAAGAAACUUGGUGGAAAUUUGACAGGGCAUGAGCGGACUAACCAACGAAAGUUUAGCGAUUCCUAACAAAGGCUGUUAAUGGGAUUUCUAGGAUGAGAAACUAAAGCACAGGCCUAGCCCAAAGACCUUCAAAAUAAACCUGAUGUUAGCCCAUG
rnacentral:lncRNA from 1 species